UACAGAGGUCCCAAGCGUUUGUUCGGAUUCAUUGGGCGUAAAGGGUGCGUAGGUGGCGCCGUAAGUCGGGUGUGAAAUUUCGGAGCUUAACUCCGAAACUGCAUUCGAUACUGCGGUGCUUGAGGACUGGAGAGGAGACUGGAAUUCAUGGUGUAGCAGUGAAAUGCGUAGAGAUCAUGAGGAAGACCAGUGGCGAAGGCGGGUCUCUGGACAGUUCCUGACACUGAGGCACGAAGGCCAGGGGAGCAAACGGGG
rnacentral:rRNA from 1 species